rnacentral:rRNA from 1 species
GAUGAACGCUGGCGGCGUGCCUAAUACAUGCAAGUCGAACGCACGGACCAAGCUUGCUUGGGAAGUGAGUGGCGAACGGGUGAGUAAUACAUAAGCAACCUGCCCACGGAGACCGGGAUAACUUCUGGAAACGGGAACUAAGACCGGAUAGGUAUAUUGAAGGCAUCUUCGAUAUAUUAAAGGUGAGAGACACUGGUGGAUGGGCUUAUGGCGCAUUAGUUAGUUGGUGAGGUAACGGCCCACCAAGACGAUGAUGCGUAGCCGGCCUGAGAGGGUGAACGGCCACAUUGGGACUGAGACACGGCCCAGACUCCUACGGGAGGCAGCAGUAGGGAAUUUUCGGCAAUGGGGGCAACCCUGACCGAGCAACGCCGCGUGAGUGAAGACGGCCUUCGGGUUGUAAAGCUCUGUUGUAAGGGAAGAACGGCAUGGAGAGGAUCCAUGAGUGACGGUACCUUACCAGAAAGCCACGGCUAACCACGUGCCAGCCGCCGCGGUAACAC